AGUACUGGUACCUCCGAGCGAUUUACCAGUUGGCCAGGGGCAACGCCGAUUCUUCAUGCUGAGACAUGCUCGUGGUUGUGGCUCGACCUCGUAACCCCAAUUGUUGUAUUCGAUAGACGAUUCGCCAAGACUGAGCCAGCGGAACCAGCGCCGACAACGAUAAAGUCAUAGGGCUCUUUGCUUGGCUCGUUAACGAUCGCACUGUUGCCUGUUGAGAAGAGGUUGUUGAAGAAUGAUGACUGGGCCUGAUUAGGUGUUGGUACGAACAGCAGUAGAACUGUGGUUACUAGUGAUGCUGUAAUGGUUCGUCGCAUUUUAGAGGCUGAAAUUUUUUUAACGAAGGUUAGUUGAAUUACAUUACAUACUGUGCAUUUGUUGCUUACUUUAAUUGAAAACAAAUCCAUACAGAUUAACAUUCAUAUAAGAAUAUUUAAAUUAAAUCACGCGAUCAGAACUAAAAAUUUUGAAGAAAAAAAAUGUUGAACUCUGACCUACUUUGACUUCCUCUUUCUUUCGGUAAAUAAAAAUAAUAAUGAUUGCGGAUUUCCCAAUGCGACGGUAUGAUGUUUUAAGGAAAUCGUUUCUUCCUGUUUUCGUUUACAAAAUCAUCAUGCAUUUUGUUUGACCUUAUUACUUACAAACCAAAGUGCAAUCAAAACGCAUUUUGUAAAUAGUUACACUCAAAUAAAUUUUUAAAAUAAAAAAUAAACUUAAUAAAAGAAUAAAAUUAAUUCAUAUCAUAUUGCAAAAAAAGGGGUAAAUAAUGACUUGAAAUUAAUACGUAUACAGCUUGUAAACUCAUGUGAUCUCUUUCAGUGCAAUUAUUCAGGAAUUUAUCGCUUUGCUGUAUAAUAUUCUAAUUUAAUUACAAGUGGCAAUUAUUUGUUAUUAGCUUUUUCACUAUCAAGCAGAAGCUCUGUAGCAGCCCGGACGAAUAUCUUUUUUUUUUAUUAAUUAGUCUUUGCACAAUAAGUAUUUGUCUGUAAUAGAUUU